ensembl:lncRNA
CCACCACACUCCUCUGUCCAUGGGAUUCUCCAGGCAAGAAUACUGGAGUGGGUUGCCAUUUCCUCCUCCAGGGGAUCUUCUGGACCCAGACAUCGAACCUGUGUUUCCUGCAUCUCCUGCAUUGCAGGCAGAUUCUUUACUGUUGAGCCACUGGGAAAGCCCUCAGAGAGGGAUACAGACCCCAUUUUCCUGGAAGCUCAGCUCCUACAUGAAAUAUUAAAAGGUAAAGGAGGGCUGAGAGGAGCUACUCCACGUUCAAGGUCAGGAGGGGCGGCCAUGAGGAGAUACCCCUAAUCCAAGCUACCAUCUUGGACAACCAGAUGACUUUGAGGAUCAAAACAGGAAGAACCUGGGUGAUCGUAUUAGUUCACUAGGGCUGCCAUAACAAAAUACCACAGAAAAACAGAAAUUAACUUUCUCACAGUUCUGGAGGGUAGAAGUCCCAGGUCAGCGUGUCAGCAGAUUUGGUUUCUUCUGAGGCCUCUCUCCUUCGCUCGGAA